rnacentral:rRNA from 1 species
UUUUUUUAAUUAGUUUUAUUUUUUAUUGUUGAAAAAAUUAAUAAAUUGUUGAAUAAUUCCUGAAUUAAAAAUUAUGCUAAAAAAUAUAUUUUUUUUUGUUUUAUAUAAAAAAUUUAAUAUUUUUAUUUACAAAUUAAGUUUUAAUUAAUUUUAGUUUUUUUAAAAGAAUUUUUAUAAUAUUUUUUUUGUUAAAUUUAUUUAAAUAAUUUUUUUUAAAUUGAUAAUUUAAUUAUUAUUAUUAUUUUUAAUAAAAUUUAUUGAAAUAAUAUUUUUUUUAAAUUAAAUUUUAUAAAAAAUGUUUAUUAAAAUCUUUUGUAAUUUUUUUUUUAAUUAUUUUUUUCUGCUCAAUGAAUUUUAAAUGGCAUCUUUAGCGUGAUUGGUCAAAGGUA